UACGUAGGGGGCAAGCGUUGUCCGGAUUUAUUGGGCGUAAAGAGCUCGUAGGUGGUUCGGUAAGUCGGAUGUGAAAUCUCCAGGCUCAACCUGGAGGGGUCAUUCGAUACUGCCGUGACUCGAGUCCGGUAGGGGAGUGUGGAAUUCCCGGUGUAGCGGUGAAAUGCGCAGAGAUCGGGAGGAACACCCGUAGCGAAGGCGGCACUCGUGGGCCGGUACUGACGCUGAGGAGCGAAAGCGUGGGAGCGAACAGG
rnacentral:rRNA from 1 species